rnacentral:rRNA from 1 species
ACCCUCCCGGGGGACGGAUGGGUACACUGUGGAGACCGCCGCUGCUAAAGCGGAGGAAGGAAUGGGCAACGGUAGGUCAGUAUGCCCCGAAUCUCCCGGGCUACACGCGGGCUACAAUGGUUGGUACAAUGGGCAUCUACCCCGAAAGGGGAGGAAAUCUCUUAAAGCCAAUCGUAGUUCGGAUUGAGGGCUGCAACUCGCCCUCAUGAAGCUGGAAUCCGUAGUAAUCGCGUUUCAACAGAACGCGGUGAAUACGUCCCUGCUCCCU